GAGGGGGCGAACACUAGAGCCGCAUGCUCACAAACAAUUUGAAAGCCAACAGCGAGAAUAAGAGGAAGAAUUAAAACUUCAAGAUCGGGUCUCGUGAAGUCUGUUUACAAAGAGUGGAGGCUGCCUGCGGGGGUCAGCUGUGUGAUGACAGAGAAACCUGACAUGAGCGUUGAACCUCUUUGAAUCACUGCAGAAACACCGAGAGGACGAACAUCUUAAGGCAGUGAUAGCGCAGUUGGAGAGUCUGCCACAGUCCAUGGAAAAGUUGUAGGAGUUGGAAUUUACACGUGUCUCAAAAGGAUGAAGAUGCUGAUCAAGUUGUUGAGAAAGCGGAGAGGGAGAGGAGAGAGGUUCUUCAAAAGGACGAGGAGAUACUGAGUUUGCAGAUGUGGAUUCGCUUGCGAAUCAUUUGGAGAGUCAGUUCCUCUUGAGAGACCGGCUCCUUCAGAGGGAGCGAGAGAAGCUGGAGCAGGUCGACCAGCUGAGAAAAACAUUGAUGACACUGGAGGACGAGCAGCACUUGUUUCUGCUGCAAAAGAACAACGAACUGUCCCAGCUGCAGACCGAGCUGGAGGAGGCACUAGCUGAAGCUCUAACCUGGGAAAGGAAGUAGAGCCACAUUCAGGAAACUGCUGCAAAGAAAACACUCUUACUGGGACAGAUCAAGAUGGCGACCCUCAACCUCUAUGAAAUGACAGGUGGCACGUUAGAAGGAGAGGAAGGUGUUGAUAUAAAUGACACGGAGAAACAUCUGGACAAGCUACUACUUCCUCCUCCUUAGCGAUGACCUUCAGUUCGUCGGCAGGGGAUGGAGACGUCGGCCUGUAGAGGAUCAACUGUAGCUCUUCAUCUGGACUGGUCAGCAACUUUUCUACUAUAUGACCGUGAAACAUC